CCUGAACGCUGGCGGCAUGGCUAAAACAUGCAAGUCGUGGGAGAAGCACCUUCGGGUGUGGACACCGGCGAAAGGGCGAGCAACGCGAUCGAACGUACCCCGAGGUGGGGGAUAGCGUCGGGAAACCGGCGGUAAUACCCCAUGUGCUCUACUGAGGAAAGCUCCGGCGCCUUGGGAGCGGUGAUCGUCCUAUCAGGUUGUUGGUGAGGUAAUAGCUCACCAAGCCGAAGACGGGUAGCGGGUGUGAGAGCAUGACCCGCCGCAUCGGGACUGAGACACUGCCCGGACUCCUACGGGAGGCUGCAGUAACGAAUCUUCCGCAAUGCACGCAAGUGUGACGGAGCAAUGCCGCGUGUGGGAUGAAGCGGUUCCGCCGUGUAAACCACUGUCAGGGUCUAGGAAGAACUGACCAGACCCAGAGGAAGGGCCGGCUAAUCUCGUGCCAGCAGCCGCGGUAAGACGAGAGGCCCAAGCGUUAGGCGGAUUCACUGGGCUUAAAGGGUGCGUAGGCGGAUUGGCAAGCAUCUCGUGAAAUCCCUCGGCUCAACCGAGGAAUUGCGGGGUGAACUGCCUGUCUUGAGGAAGGCAGAGGCUGUCGGAACGUUCGGUGGAGCGGUGAAAUGCGUAGAUAUCGAACGGAACGCCGAAGGGGUAGCCAGGCAGCUGGGCCUUACCUGACGCUGAGGCACGAAAGCGUGGGGAUCAAACAGGAUUAGAUACCCUGGUAGUCCACGCCGUAAACGAUGUGCACUAGCUCGAUGCAGAUCUGACUCUGUGUCGGGCGCCGAGAAAUCAUUAAGUGCACCGCCUGGGGAGUACGGUCGCAAGGCUAAAACUCAAAGGAAUUGACGGGGGCUCACACAAGCGGUGGAGCAUGUUGCUUAAUUCGAAGCAACGCGAAGAACCUUACCUGGGUUUGACAUGCACGG
rnacentral:rRNA from 1 species